GUGGAAUGAUAAACUUCUUAGCGGCGGAUGGGUGAGUAACGCGUGAGGAACCUGCCUUCCACAAGGGGAUAGCCUCGGGAAACCGGGAUUAAUACCCUAUGAAACUUAGCAAUCGCAUGAUAUUUAAGUUAAAGCGUUAGCGGUGGAAGAUGGCCUCGCGUCCCAUUAGCUAGUUGGUGAGUUAAAAGCUCACCAAGGCGACGAUGGGUAGCCGGCUUGAGAGAGUGACCGGCCACACUGGAACUGAGACACGGUCCAGACUCCUACGGGAGGCAGCAGUGGGGAAUAUUGCACAAUGGAGGGAACUCUGAUGCAGCGACGCCGCGUGAGCGAUGAAGGCCUUCGGGUCGUAAAGCUCUGUCCUAUGGGACGAUAAUGACGGUACCAUAGGAGGAAGCCCCGGCUAACUACGUGCCAGCAGCCGCGGUAAUACGUAGGGGGCGAGCGUUGUCCGGAAUUACUGGGCGUAAAGGGUACGCAGGCGGUCAAAUAAGUCAGAUGUGAAAGGCGUAGGCUUAACCUAUGUAAGCAUUUGAAACUGUUUGGCUUGAGUUAAGGAGAGGAAAGUGGAAUUCCUGGUGUAGCGGUGAAAUGCGUAGAUAUCAGGAGGAAUAUCAGUGGCG
rnacentral:rRNA from 1 species